CUUGCGAUUCUAUUUCGUUGGUUUCUAGGACGCGAGUAAUGAUUAAUAGGGAUAGUUGGGGGCAUUCAUAUUUAAUUGUCAGAGGUGAAAUUCUUAGAUUUAUGAAAGAUGAACUACUGCGAAAGCAUUUGCCAAGGAUGUUUUCAUUAAUCAAGAACGAAAGUUAGGGGAUCGAAGACGAUCAGAUACCGUCGUAGUCUUAACCAUAAACUAUGCCGACUAGGGAUUGGCGGAUGUUUCCUUUACGACUCCUUCAGCACCUUUAGCGAAAGCAAAGUUUUUGGGUUCCGGGGGGAGUAUGGUCGCAAGGCUGAAACUUAAAGGAAUUGACGGAAGGGCACCACCAGGAGUGGAGCCUGCGGCUUAAUUUGACUCAACACGGGGAAACUC
rnacentral:rRNA from 1 species